CCGGUCGGUUCUGAGCUGCUUUUAUUGCGAUGAGCUAAGUUUGUUGUGUGAUUAACUGGAAAGAUCUAGGACUAAACUCCCUCUUACGGCUCCCUCACCAACUCCCCCAUGACUUUGGCCACACCCUCCCUCAGGAAAUUUGUUGCAGAAUUUGUGGUGAGACUACAAUACAGUCUCCAGGAAAAUGACAGGAAGAGUUGGAGUACAUCAUCAAAGCUUUCAUUGUCAUAACAAAAACACCAUAGAUAAACGACUUCUGGUGUUUGUUUUGAUUGGUAAUUUUGAACCUUCCAGUUCACUGACAGGACGGGCACCAUUGCUUUGUUCCUAAAAGCCAUGGAACACAUUGAAGAGGAGAGCAUGUCAAAAGCAAAGAAGAGUCAGGCCCCAUGACUCCCUCCAUCAAAGGAGACAUUCCCAGGGAACUAAAGACAUUGUACUACACUUCUAAAGAUUCUACCAUCCCUCCAAAGCACUGGCCUGGUGAUAGAAUUUUUAACAUAAGCCUUUUAGGGUAUAUUUGGGAACCAAACUCCAGCACCUUUGCAACCAGGUGUGUCCAUCCCAUGAGGUAUUUACAUCAAAGAAAAUGUCCCAGCCAUGUUCAGAGAAAUGUGUGAUGGCAGAGGGAUCAAGUCAAAGUGACUGGCUUUAAAGAUCUAUUAAGAUAGUCACAGACUGAAUGCUGUCGGCUUAUGAAGACUAGAAACGAGUAUGAAAUUCUCCCUUGGAUCCUCCAGGAAUGAAUUCUCUCUGGAAAUCACGUUGUCUUCACCCUGGUAAAAAUGAUGUCAGAUUUAAAAACUUAAAAUUUCAAAGAUGAUGUAGUUGUGUUCCUUUUAGGCACCAAAUUUGUUGUAAUCUGUACCCACAACAUUGGAAAUGUAACGUGUAGGCCGUACCUCCCUGAGUGGUCCAUCUGUUUGAAACUUUUCAGAUUUUAAGCUACUUCUAUGCUGUGCACUUAGUGUUAAAUGUAGUCUUGAUUGAGUGAUUGCUCUACCAAGGAAGCUCCUUCUAAAGAAAUGAUUUGUCCUCAUUAGGUUCUGAUGGCAAUCUUUGCCUCCCAGCAGUCUCUUCCUUGCCUGUGCAAUGAUGCAUUAACCGCUCUCUGAGAGAAAUGUGUUGCAAUGUGCUGUUUAUUCAAGAGAUCUGGAGAAAGCCCCAAAAUUACACUUGACUUUGCAAGAAGAUUAGCAAACAAUAGCGCUAUUUUGAAAGACAGAGAUCUGUAUCAUUGAAAAGGGAAGUUGCAAAACUAACUUGUCCUUUAUCUAUUGAGAUUCCUUAGGAAGGAGGAAUUUACAACUUGUAUUAUCCUAGCUGGAGACACUUUUAUGCUGCUGGCAUUUGUCCAGUACAAGUUUAUCUGAUACCCUAAGGCUUCACAGAGCCUCCUUUGGGAUGUAGUUCCAAAGUGCUUGUGCAAAAUGUAAUAGAAAAGUUGAUGUAGCAGAGAAAGGAAAAAAACCCCACAUCAUUUAUUUAAAAAGAACAGAGAACAGAAAAACUGGUUUUAGAAAAUGGAUAAAGUCUGGUGUAAAGUAAGUAAUUGAACGUAUUUUCCCCUCCCCUUUCUUAUUGCCCACUUACUAUGCCUUCAAUGACUAUUGUAUUUAUAUAUCUUAUUACGAACAUAAAUUAUAUCCUAAAACAAUCUCCAAUUUUUGCACCUGCCUGGAAAUGACAAUUGUAUUUACUGUGUACUCUCUAUGUACUAAUAGAUAUGAAGUCAUUUAAAGACUUAGGAGACAUUCAAAGAAGAAAUUAUGUUCUAGGAGUAAGUCAUGUUAACAAUAACCUGAGUGUAGUUUUUAAAGUUUAUAUGCAAUAUAUAUACAUAUGUACAUAUUAUCAUUUCAAGUUUUUUUUAAAUUUUGUAUUUCUAUUUUCUGAACUGCACUGUAAUGAUUUAACUGAUGAGUAAUUAUAGCUCAGUGUGUAUUUCCUUUUUUUCUUCAACUUUCUUAGAAUUCAAGCAUUGUCAGUCAACAAUAGCCAAAUAUCCAUAUUUUUCCAGUUAUUUAUAUUUAUACUGUUUUCCAUAGCUAAAAAUAUCAUUUUCACUCAUGUAAGAAAUAUGUAUGCAAAAUUCUUGGGCUAUCUCUCAUAGUAAGUUUUGGGGAAUAUUUAGUUGAAUCAACUCUAGACCAUAAAUAAAAAUAUCCUCAAUUCCAUUUCUACUCUGAGCCCAUUGUGUAUCUCACGCUUUCUGAUAUGGUUUUACUCUCUGUAACAAGGCUUGAGUGAUCCUGCUAUUUCCAUCUCAACAGGUGAGUGUUGACUUUGACUAAAAACAGCAAAUCUUAGAUUAUAAUGCAAAUAAAGUUAGAUAAAAGGUCAAAUGUCCAAGCUAUGAACCUGUAAAGAAAGGGGAAAAAAAUAGCACAGCGUCUUAGAGAUGGAAAGCAGGGGAUCUCUUCAGUUCCAAACUAGAACUGAAAGUAGAAAUGUGUCCAUUGACAAUAAGAAGUUUCCCUCUCUUAGCUGGUUACUUAUCUUAGUCAUUACUGUGGUUGCCAAACCGCUCACAUCAUUCUAUGUCACUUUGAGGUUUUCUCAAGAACUCUGUAAAUGAUUAAACACAUUUCUUAGAUAUUAAAAUUAAAUAUUGAUUGUAGCCUCCGAGUUAAUCCAUUGCUUUUGACAACACCUUCAACCAUCAUAGUCAUUCUCUCUCUCCCAUUUCUUCUUCACAGCCAAAAUACAAUUCAUUAUCAUUUCAUACAAUUUUGUGUGCUCUUGACUUGUUGAACCAUUAGAAAAUCCUCCCUCAUGUUGAUCUCAAAUUCCACCAUAAUUCUGCCUCCCAAAAUCAAUCAAACAAUAAACCUAUUCCCAAUUAUUUAAGGUGAUCAUAAGUUAUAGGAUGUACACAACAGCAGUCCUGUAACUAUUCAUUAUUAGCCCAGUGCUGGGGAGGGAAAGACAGGUGAAUCUCUGAGUCUUGCUGGACAAUCUGUCUGGCUGCACCAAAGAGCUCCAGGUUUGGUAAGAAACCCUAUCUCAAAAAAAUUAAGUGAUGAAGGAUUAAGGACUUUGACUUUAGACUUACACACACACACACACACACACACACACUGACAUAAUACACACUUGUGUAAACAUGUACACCUACAGACAGGCAGAAUAGAACUUACUUUGUCUCUGUAUGGACUCAAAACCAUACUGGUGUCAAUUAGAUUCAAUGCUGACCCUAUUAUCUACUGGCAAGCUAUUAUAUAUCAAGAACAAUGGAAAGACCAUUGUAAUAACAAUGUAUUGUUUUAUCCCCAUAACAAUGAACUAUGCACUGUUGCUGGUGCAGCGCACUAUUUCCAUCCAAAUGCAAUCAUCUCACCUCCGAAUUUUGCCACUGCAGUCUCUUGGUCUCUCACUACUACUUUCUCAGCAGCUUCGUGACCCUCCUUCUACCUACUUGGUGGAUAUUUAUGAGUAAUAAAGUAUAAAUGUGCACAAAUAUAUUUUACAGCAGUAUUAAAACUGUGUAGUAAAACCAUUCCCACAUAAUAAAUCCUCAGAAAUGCAAUAAUUUUACGGUGUAAUUUUUCCAUGUAAUCUUUUCUUUAACUCGUACUUACAAGGUUAUGUCAGCUCAUAGAUUUACAUGUGAUUCAGUUACGAAGCUAUAACAGGUAAAUACUUAAUCAUACAUAUUUUGGCUGUUCAUCCAAGAUGAACUGUACAAUAAUUCAGAAAAGAUACAUAUCGUUAAGAGUUUUUUGAAAUAUGAAAACGAAGGAAAGAACACUACAAAGGCAUACAUGAAGAAAAAUCUUUGAAAUAUUUAUCCACAUUCAAAACCAGAGACUCUUGUUUUUCAACAGGAAUACAAUUCAAUUGCAAUAGCAUUAGGAGCAAAAAAUAACUGUACAGGAAUGUGUUUUAAAUUACCGAAGUGACACCUUACACUCUUUUCAUAUCAGGUUCAGGACCCCCCUGUUCUUCAUAGUUCACAAAUAUAUAAACAGACCUGUCAGACCUCGCCAAAUUUAUUAACAUUUGGCAGGUUGCCUCUGCAAAGGCAAAAGAAGAAAGAAGAAAGAAAAAAAACCCUCCUUUAGAAGGAAGUUUAAAAUGAGUAAGAAAAAUAACCACUUAAAUUCAACCGGCCCAAAGCAGGUUGCACUUACUGGCGAA
rnacentral:sRNA from 1 species